ensembl:lncRNA
GGGCUGAGAGGAGGUGUGUGUUGUGUUGUGUGGUGUUGUAGCGGUGCGUGUUGUAGAGGUGUGAGUUAUGUUGUAUUGUGGAGGUGUGUGUUGUGUUGUAGAGGUGUGUGUUUUGUUGUAGAGGUGUGUGUUGUGUUGUAGAGGUGUGUGUUGUGUUGUAGAGGUGUGUGUUGUGUUGUGUUGUAGAGGUGUGUGUUGUGUUGUAGAGGUGUGUGUUGUGUUGUAGAGGUGUGUGUUGUAGAGGUGUGUGUUGUGUUGUAGAGGUGUGUGUGUGUUGUGUUGUAGAGGUGUGUGUGGUGUUGUAGAGGUGUGUGUGUGUGUGUGUUGUGUUGUAGAGGUGUGUGU